GUACAUACUUGGACGGGGUCAACGAGUGAUCAAGUAGGCUCAUGACCUAGGUCAACGACUUUCAUUGCACAUUCGAAGGUGCGUUUGCCUAACAUCUCCUGAGCGGAGCAUGUACGUCAAAAUUUGUGGUAGAGGGCACUGUGCUCGCGCAGUCCCUGU